AGUGUUUUCAAGAGGUUUUCUGGAAAUCAGUUGCCUGGGUAUGAUGAUGGUGAUGUGGGUUCAGCAAGGUUUGACAAACCUAUAAGCUUUGCUGUUGAUGUGAGACUUGGACCAAAGUGUCACGGGUCUCUCUAAUUGUUCUCUCCAUUAUUUCAUUCGAUGUUAUAGGAUGCUUAUAUGAAGUUAUCAGAACACAGAGGCCUGAUAAUGGCAAAAAAGUGUUGCAAACAUUGCUCUAAGUGAUGCAGCUGGAAAUACCAUUGAAUGUACUCUAUGGGAUCAUUAUGGUUCCCAACUAAUGAAUUACACCACCUAACAGUGUUGUUGGCCCAAAUAUUGUGAUCCUUACUCAUGCUUUGUGCAGACCAAACGCAGCAAACCUCAAAAGCUCCACUUGACUUACACUCUCCUAUCAAUGCAAUUCUUCCAAAUGAUCAACCACGCGUCUGUUUGCCUUACCUAACAAUCUUCGGUUCUUUCACAUUGUCAUUGUGCAAUUCCAACUAACUUCUAAUUGUUACUAUCCAUAGGUGACCCAAACCACUGAUGUCACUAUCUCUACAGAGCCCACCAUGUCAAAUGUUCCAAGCUGCAACCCUGAAUGUAGCUCAACGAUUACACCGGCGAAACGUGCUGCUCCUGCAGCCCUGAAUAAACCUUAAGUUUUGAAUGAUAUAUUUGAAUCCUUAUUUCAGUAUGUAGCUUAAGAACUUUUAAAGCUGUAUAAUCUUAAUUGUCACCAUUAGAAUCUCUUUUUGAAUGAUAUAUUAGUAGUACAAGCAAAGUCAUUAUAGUCUAGAAGGGAUUUUAUUACAAGAAAAUACUACUAUGAUAGUUUGUGUUAUAUUUUGUCAUCAACUUUAUGCUGUAUCUAUUUUCUGUUUAUGAUUCAGCACAUAUAUUAUUUUUGUUCAUAAUCAAAAAGCUCGUGGAACAAGAAAACUGUAAAAGCAAUGUAUUGUUUUAUGAUUUUUUAAUAUACUUUAACACUUGGGCUACCUAAAUAAGAGUAGUGGAUAGAC